rnacentral:rRNA from 1 species
AGAGUUUGAUCAUGGCUCAGAUUGAACGCUGGCGGCAUGCCUAACACAUGCAAGUCGAACGGAAACGAUGCUAGCUUGCUAGCAGGCGUCGAGUGGCGGACGGGUGAGUAAUGUAUAGGAACUUGCCCAGUAGUGGGGGACAACUUAUGGAAACGUAAGCUAAUACCGCAUAAUCUCUACGGAGGAAAGCAGGGGCUCUUUGGACCUUGUGCUACUGGAUAGGCCUAUAUUGGAUUAGCUAGUUGGUGAGGUAAAGGCUCACCAAGGCGACGAUCCAUAGCUGGUUUGAGAGAAUGAUCAGCCACACUGGGACUGAGACACGGCCCAGACUCCUACGGGAGGCAGCAGUGGGGAAUAUUGCACAAUGGAGGAAACUCUGAUGCAGCAAUGCCGCGUGUGUGAAGAAGGCCUUAGGGUUGUAAAGCACUUUCAAUAGGGAGGAAAAGUAAGUAGUUAAUACCUGCUUACCGUGACGUUACCUAUAGAAGAAGGACCGGCUAACUCCGUGCCAGCAGCCGCGGUAAUACGGAGGGUCCGAGCGUUAAUCGGAAUUACUGGGCGUAAAGCGCGCGUAGGCGGAUAUAUAAGUCAGAUGUGAAAGCCCUGGGCUCAACCUAGGAACUGCAUUUGAAACUGUAUAUCUAGAGUAUGGUAGAGGUGAGUGGAAUUUCAGGUGUAGCGGUGAAAUGCGUAGAGAUCUGAAGGAACAUCAGUGGCGAAGGCGACUCA